CCUACGGGGGGCAGCAGUGGGGAAUAUUGGACAAUGGGCGAAAGCCUGAUCCAGCAACGCCGCGUGGAGGACGAAGGCCUUCGGGUCGUAAACUCCUGUCAGGUGGGACGAAACAGCCGAGUUCAAUAGGCUCGGCAACUGACGGUACCACCAGAGGAAGCCCCGGCUAACUCCGUGCCAGCAGCCGCGGU
rnacentral:rRNA from 1 species